rnacentral:rRNA from 1 species
UGCCAGUGAUAAACUGGAGGAAGGUGGGGAUGACGUCAAGUCAUCAUGGCCCUUACGAGUAGGGCUACACACGUGCUACAAUGGCAUAUACAAAGAGAAGCGACCUCGCGAGAGCAAGCGGACCUCAUAAAGUAUGUCGUAGUCCGGAUUGGAGUCUGCAACUCGACUCCAUGAAGUCGGAAUCGCUAGUAAUCGUGGAUCAGAAUGCCACGGUGAAUACGUUCCCGGGCCUUGUACACACCGCCCGUCACACCAUGGGAGUGGGUUGCAAAAGAAGUAGGUAGCUUAACCUUCGGGAGGGCGCUUACCACUUUGUGAUUCAUGACUGGGGUGAAGUCGUAACAAGGUAACCGUAGGGGAACCUGCGGUUGGAUC